UACGGAGGGUGCAAGCAUUGAUCGGAAUUACUGGGCGUAAAGGGCGCGUAGGCGGUUUAAUAAGUCGGAUGUGAAAUUCCGGGGCUCAACCCCGGAGCGGCAUUUGAAACUGUUAAACUAGAGUACAGUUAGGGUAAACGGAAUUCCUCGUGUAGCGGUGAAAUGCGUAGAUAUGAGGAAGAACACCGGUGGUGAAGACGGUUUACUGGGCUGUAACUGACGCUGAGGCGCGAAAGCAUGGGGAGCAAACAGG
rnacentral:rRNA from 1 species